rnacentral:rRNA from 1 species
GAUGAACGCUGGCGGCGUGCCUAAUACAUGCAAGUCGAGCGAAUGGAUUGAGAGCUUGCUCUUAUGAAGUUAGCGGCGGACGGGUGAGUAACACGUGGGUAACCUGCCCAUAAGACUGGGAUAACUCCGGGAAACCGGGGCUAAUACCGGAUAACAUUUUGAACCGCAUGGUUCGAAAUUGAAAGGCGGCUUCGGCUGUCACUUAUGGAUGGACCCGCGUCGCAUUAGCUAGUUGGUGAGGUAACGGCUCACCAAGGCAACGAUGCGUAGCCGACCUGAGAGGGUGAUCAGCCACACUGGGACUGAGACACGGCCCAGACUCCUACGGGAGGCAGCAGUAGGGAAUCUUCCGCAAUGGACGAAAGUCUGACGGAGCAACGCCGCGCGAGUGAUGAAGGCUUUCGGGUCGUAAAACUCUGUUGUUAGGGAAGAACAAGUGCUAGUUGAAUAAGCUGGCACCUUGACGGUACCUAACCAGAAAGCCACGGCUAACUACGUGCCAGCCGCCGCGGUAA